AGAGUUUGAUCCUGGCUCAGCCUUGGCUUCAAGGGGGAACGGAACGCUGGCGGCGCGCUUAACACAUGCAAGUUCGACGGGGUACCCAUGACGGCGGCUUCGGCCAACGGAUUGGAAUACCUAGUGGCGGACGGGUGCGUAACACGUGAGUAACCUGCCCUUAGGAGGGGGAUAACAUACCGAAAGGUAUGCUAAUACCGCAUAACAUAUUUUCUUCGCAUGGAGAGGAUAUCAAAGAUUUAUCGCCUAAGGAUGGACUCGCGGCCGAUUAGUUAGUUGGUGAGGUAACGGCUCACCAAGGCGACGAUCGGUAGCCGGACUGAGAGGUUGAUCGGCCACAUUGGGACUGAGACACGGCCCAGACUCCUACGGGAGGCAGCAGUGGGGAAUAUUGCGCAAUGGGGGAAACCCUGACGCAGCGACGCCGCGUGAAGGAAGAAGGUUUUCGGAUCGUAAACUUUUGUCUUUGGGGACGAGAACGGACGGUACCCCAGGAGGAAGCCACGGCUAACUACGUGCCAGCAGCCGCGGU
rnacentral:rRNA from 1 species